UUUAUCAAAAACAUUGUUUUUUGUUUGUAUAUAGAAAAUAUAACCUGCUCACUGAAAUUAUAUUUAAAGAGCUGCGAUAAAUUAAUCGUACAAAGGUAGCAUAGUCAUUUGUUUUUUAAUUGGAGACUGGGAUGAAAGGGAUAACGAGGGAUUAUUUGUCUUUAUUUGAGAAUUUGAAAUUUAUUUUUUUGUUAAAAGGCAGAAAUGAGAAUUAAAGACGAGAAGACCCUAUAGAGCUUUAUUUUUUGAUCCUAGUGCCAAUUAUAGCUAUAGGUGAGGGAAAAUUUUACUGGGGCGGUAGAAAGAAAUUGAAUUACUCUUUUUUAAAAAUUUAUUUGAAAAUAUAGUUUUAUCCAAAUUGAUUGAAUAAUAAAAAGUUACCUUAGGGAUAACAGCGUAAUCUUUCCUUAGAGUUCUUAUCGAUGGGGGGGUUUGCGACCUCGAUGUUGGAUUAGGAUUUCUAUUUGGCGAAAAAGUUAAAUUAGAUAGUCUGUUCGACUAUUAAAUUCCUACAUGAUCUGAGUU
rnacentral:rRNA from 1 species